AACGAACGCUGGCGGCAGGCUUAACACAUGCAAGUCGAACGCGUGCAGCAAUGCACGAGUGGCGCACGGGUGAGUAACGCGUGGAUAUCUGCCUUCUGGUUCGGAAUAACCCCGGGAAACUGGGGCUAAUACCGAAUGGUUCCUACGGGAUAAAGAUUUAUCGCCAGAAGAUGAGUCCGCGUCCGAUUAGCUAGUUGGUGAGGUAACGGCUCACCAAGGCGACGAUCGGAGCUGGUCUGAGAGGACGACCAGCCACACUGGGACUGAGACACGGCCCAGACUCCUACGGGAGGCAGCAGUGGGGAAUAUUUGGACAAUGGGCGGCAAGCCUGAUCCAGCGAUGCCGCGUGUGUGAAGAAGGCCUGCGGGUUGUAAAGCAC
rnacentral:rRNA from 1 species